rnacentral:rRNA from 1 species
GAGUUUGAUCCUGGCUCAGGAUGAACGCUAGCGACAGGCUUAACACAUGCAAGUCGAGGGGCAGCGGUGGUGAAGGCUUGCCUUUACCAGCCGGCGACCGGCGCACGGGUGAGUAACACGUAUGCAACCUGCCUGCCACAGCCGGAUAAUCGGGAGAAAUUCCGUCUAAUACGGCAUAAUGCACCUAUGGGACAUCCUGUUGGUGCCAAAGGUUAAUUCCGGUGGCGGAUGGGCAUGCGUCGCAUUAGUUAGUUGGCGGUGUAACGGACCACCAAGACGACGAUGCGUAGGGGUUCUGAGAGGAAGGUCCCCCACACUGGUACUGAGACACGGACCAGACUCCUACGGGAGGCAGCAGUGAGGAAUAUUGGUCAAUGGGCGGGAGCCUGAACCAGCCAAGUCGCGUGAGGGAUGACGGCCCUAUGGGUUGUAAACCUCUUUUGCCGGGGAGCAAAGUGCCGCACGUGUGCGGUUUGGAGAGUACCCGGAGAAAAAGCAUCGGCUAACUCCGUGCCAGCAGCCGCGGUAAUACGGAGGAUGCGAGCGUUAUCCGGAUUUAUUGGGUUUAAAGGGUGCGUANGCGGACGCUUAAGUCAGCGGUAAAAUUGCGGGGCUCAACCUCGUCGAGCCGUUGAAACUGGGUGUCUUGAGUGGGCGAGAAGUACGCGGAAUGCGUGGUGUANCGGUGAAAUGCAUAGAUAUCACGCAGAACUCCGAUUGCGAAGGCAGCGUACCGGCGCCCAACUGACGCUGAAACACGAAGGCGUGGGUAUCGAACAGGAUUAGAUACCCUG